GAUGAACGCUGGCGGCGUGCCUAAUACAUGCAAGUCGAGCGAACAGAUGAGGAGCUUGCUCCUCUGACGUUAGCGGCGGACGGGUGAGUAACACGUGGAUAACCUACCUAUAAGACUGGGAUAACUACGGGAAACCGGAGCUAAUACCGGAUAAUAUAUUGAACCGCAUGGUUCAAUAGUGAAAAACGGUUUUGCUGUCACUUAUAGAUGGAUCCGCGCCGCAUUAGCUAGUUGGUAAGGUAACGGCUUACCAAGGCAGCGAUGCGUAGCCGACCUGAGAGGGUGAUCGGCCACACUGGAACUGAGACACGGUCCAGACUCCUACGGGAGGCAGCAGUAGGGAAUCUUCCGCAAUGGGCGAAAGCCUGACGGAGCAACGCCGCGUGAGUGAUGAAGGUCUUCGGAUCGUAAAACUCUGUUAUUAGGGAAGAACAAAUGUGUAAGUAACUAUGCACGUCUUGACGGUACCUAAUCAGAAAGCCACGGCUAACUACGUG
rnacentral:rRNA from 1 species